rnacentral:snoRNA from 1 species
UUCCAUGAUGAACCAUAGCACUGGGCACCGAUCAGCAUGACGGAAAUGCUUUGUUGCGGCGAGGCCUCAGAAACCUCGCCCACUGAUU